rnacentral:rRNA from 1 species
CCCUUAGACACUCUAGGCGGCACGCGCGCUACAAUGGGUGGAAGAACGUGUUACUGCCUCCGAAAGGAGGGGCGAAUCACGAAUUCUUGCCCGUGAAUGGGAUAGUUUGUUGCAAUUUUCGGACUUGAACUAGGAAUCCCUUGUAAACAUGCUCAAGAAUAGCGUGUUGAAUACGUCCCUGCCGUUUGUACACACCGCCCGUCGUUUCUUCCGACUGAUACUCAUUGUGAGUUGCAAGGACCCUUUAUUGGGAAAUUGCUGCAAAUGCUUUGUAUUGGAGGAAGAAAAAGUCGUAACA